UCCCGAAAUUUUGCUGGCGCGCCGGCCCGUCUCGCACGUGACGUCGGGACCGGACAGACCGCAAAUUUCUGUCUCUCCCCGACUCCAAACGC
rnacentral:ribozyme from 1 species